rnacentral:hammerhead_ribozyme from 1 species
GUCUAGAUGACGAGUCUCAAAACAGGACGAAGUACGAGUCCUGGAU